rnacentral:lncRNA from 1 species
GCAUGAUCUCAGGGCAUUUCACAAGUGCUGUGAGACAUUUGAGGGGCUGACUUUCCCCCCCUUUUCCCUGAGAUACUGUUUUGUUCUAUUUUCACGAUGUGAUGAUACCCAGUGUAACAUGGAGCAAACUGACACUUGAAGCAGUAGAAAAAAUGUAUUUCUAGGAGAUGGAUUUAUUUUCUAAUGAGGUAUUUGAUGUUUUUCCAGGCUCUAAACAAAUUAGACCCAGAUCUGUGGCUGCAGGGCAUUGGGAGGGGAAGUGGUUGAUGAGCUGAGCUAAUUAAUUGCACUUACUUAUGACUUAUCAAAUGGUGAUCACCACCCCAUAUGGAGCACUUGAGUGUGUGGAAUUGAGGAGAGAGGAUAUUGAUAUGUGGGAUAAAUGUAAAGCAGUGGUCAAUGGCAAGGACAUAAAUAAAUCUGGGGAUUCGGGUGACAUUAAAAUAAAUUGUGGGUAGUGAGGUAUGAGAGAGACUUAAUGUCAAAGGAACCCUAUAAUGUAUUUAUAUUCCCACUCAGGAUUUGCUGGAGUUUCUAAAUAAUGCAUUAAUUCAAUUACACAUUCUUAAUUAGUGUUUUCUCAAAUUGGAGCAACAUCAUUAAUUUACUGCGUCAUAUUUUUAUUUUGCUGGUGUGGUGAGUUUCAUUUUCGACUCUUUCCCCUCUCUGGUUUGUGAGACUCGUAACACUUAGCUGUGAUGCUCAUGCCACAAGCUGCAGCUUCUUUGGGAAUACCAGAUUUCUGAAUUAUAAUUUUUUAAAAUAUUUUUUUUUUACACUGACAGGCAGCACAGCACUGACCUGACCCCGUAAUAGGAGGAAGAGGGAGAAAAAGAGCCUAGAUCUGAAGCAGCUCCUUUUGAAUGCUGAGCAGCAUCUGCUCUCCAUAGAGCAGGGCGAUCUGCAGCAUGCUGGGGCAGGAUUACCCCCUUUGGGCUCCCCCAAAUGGGAUUAUUUGAUUUUUUUCCCCUCUCUGGACACUCCUGGUACUUGCAGGGAUGGGUGCUCCCUGUCCCUCUGGGCCUUUACCAGUCACAGCUUUCUGUAAGCACCCCCCAGUUCCUCACAGUAUCUCUCCUGGCCACCUGCAGCUGGCAGAGGCAGCUUCAACUAUGAUCAGUGCAUAAAUCUACCUGCAACACAGGAUGUUGGAAAAUUACCGAGAGACAGCAACGUCCUCCCUGCUGUUUGGUGAGAAAAGAAGGAUGCACCUUCAGGUAUGGGCUGGAAAAUUGUUUCAUCCUCUGUUCUCUAUUUGUGUUUCACCAAGCUUGCUCAUAGCAUUGAUUAGAGGGGGGAAAUAAGGUGUUUGCAAGAGGGAAACUUCAGAAGGGAUUCUCUAAAAGUCUCAAGCCACAGAUAAGUGUCUGCUCUGCACUCGAGCAGUGCAAGGCUCU